rnacentral:rRNA from 1 species
UACGUAGGUGGCAAGCGUUGUCCGGAUUUAUUGGGUUUAAAGGGUGCGUAGGCGGUUCUAUAAGUCAGUGGUGAAAUCCGGCAGCUCAACUGUCGAUGUGCCAUUGAUACUGCAGAACUUGAGUACAGACGAGGUAGGCGGAAUUGACGGUGUAGCGGUGAAAUGCUUAGAUAUCGUCAAGAACACCGAUAGCGAAGGCAGCUUACUAGACUGUAACUGACGCUGAUGCA